GCUGCGUCCAGGGUGCGGGGGCGUGGCCGGGGGCGGCCGCGGGGGCGGAGUCGGGACCUGACAGCGGAAGAGGAAGGGCUUCUGGAAAACACAGAGGACAUCCAGGACUUCUGUGAGGACUCGCCCUCUGUGCGGCGGGACCUGCUGGGUUCCUCGCCACCGCUUAUGCCACACCACGCCGUGAAGACGUGAACCUCAAGACUGCAAGUGGGAAAGAAGGACACUACUAUUUUUGAAUGAGAUUCUAAACACCGUCUUUUUUUUAAAUUCUAGUUAUUUAAAUGUGAGUCAAGUGCAGUGUGGUCACAGCCCACGCAUGCGUGGCAAUCAUUGACAAGUAUUUCAAUUUAAAUCGAUAAGUUCAGAGUUGUGGUGCAGCAACCAUAUCAUUCGGUGUGACUCAUUGGUUGCGUGUGUGCGUGCGUGUGAGUGCGCCUGCGCGCGUUUGAGAAUGUUAAUAUAAGUGUGAAAUUGUCGUGAGAGAUUGUGUGUGUGUGGGUGGGUGUGUUGUGGUCAUUUGUUAUCAUGUUCUAAAGUGUUUUUAACUUAAUUUUGAUAACAAAAGUAAGAGUAAAAUAUUUGUUUUCGCUUGUUCUGUUAAAAAACGAAUUUUGCAAUUUUGUUCCAUUGCGCGCUGUGACAAAAAUUAUUGUAAAUACUUAGCGGUGCACACAAGGCAUUUUAAUAAAUUAGUAAUAUGAUGAGCAUACUUGAAAUGGCCAAUGGAAAACAAAGUUCCCCUCAGUCGCUGGAAUUUUGUUCAUAUCUUGCUUUUAUCUGGUCCAAUCUCAUAAAAUACUGCAUUCUCUGGUCUAUGCCUUUGAAAAAUGCAAAUGACUAGAAAACUUUUCUUUUAGAGGCAGUCGGGACCAAAUGCGAUGUAAUCGCCUUGAGACACACUGUCUUCAGUAGGGAGAAAUUCCUUGAGUGCAGUGUACGCUUUUUUCACUUUUCUUGAGACUGUUGUAGAUUUGAUUUUGGAACGAAUUUGUGUCUUCGAGUAUUGUGUCAUCCUGAUUUAUUCCCAUGGCUUUCUGUAAACUAGACAAGAUUGUGUGAUUGUUGGUUGUCUUCUUUUAAGCGGAAAUAUGCCAUAUCGACAAGAAACAAACAAGUGAAUCUGAUCUUGGCUUAAAAUUUGAAUGUUUUGGGCAUAAGCCUCACAUAAUGUAUUGUAUUAUAUGAUACUUAUUCGCUGAGAAUUAUUUUUAUGAAAGAAUGAGAAACUUUCGUGAUACAUAUUUAUCUUCCCUGGAGCCUCUAAUUAUUGGGAUAAGUUCCAGUGCCUAGGUGUAACAUUAUGUGUGAAUCGUCCGUGUUAAAUUAUAUGUGUCACAUGUAUUCUUUUUGUUAUAUUGUAUUUUUUCUGUAAAGCUGUUGUUUUAAAAAACAACAAGUUGUGAACUGAAGAGCGUCUAGCCAAACAGAUUGCAAGACAAAUUUUAACAAAUUGCAAGAUCUUUAAUUCACAAUUCGUUUUUCUGUCACUGCACCAUGUGACAGAAAGGCUUCAGAGUUGUGAGUUAAACAUUGUAUUGUUCAGCGAGAAACCAAUAGGAAAUUGUUUGAUCUGAUACUACAGAGAUGUAACCAAUAAACAGUUUGUGACUGACAAAUACCAUUUGUGUGGACAUUUUUGUAAAAUAUUGAUGUUAUAAAUCAUGUUGGACUGAAA